rnacentral:rRNA from 1 species
CCUACGGGUGGCUGCAGUGAGGAAUAUUGGUCAAUGGGCGAGAGCCUGAACCAGCCAAGUCGCGUGAGGGAGUACUGCCCUAUGGGUUGUAAACCUCUUUUGUCGGGGAGCAAAAGCCGGACGUGUCCGGCUGUGAGAGUACCCGACGAAAAAGCAUCGGCUAACUCCGUGCCAGCAGCCGCGGUAAUACGGAGGAUGCGAGCGUUAUCCGGAUUUAUUGGGUUUAAAGGGUGCGCAGGCGGAUUGUUAAGUCAGCGGUAAAAGCGUGGGGCUCAACCCCAUCCAGCCGUUGAAACUGGCAGACUUGAGUGUGUGAGAGGAGAGUGGAAUUCCAGGUGUAGGAGUGAAAUCCGUAGAUAUCUGGAGGAACAUCAGUUGCGAAGGCGACUAUCUGGCACAUAACUGACGCUGAGGAGCGAAAGCGUGGGGAGCAAACAGGAUUAGAUACCCUUGUAGUC